rnacentral:rRNA from 1 species
UCUUGGUCAUUUAGAGGAAGUAAAAGUCGUAACAAGGUNUCCGUUGGUGAACCAGCGGAGGGAUCAUUA